rnacentral:rRNA from 1 species
UAUAGUUACCCAGCGACACCAUCCGUUGUUAUGGAACCAUCUGUGUUACCAU